CAAGCCGACGGUCGGCCGUCGUGAGUGUCUGUCGGGUUAGUUUGUUUGGUGUGUUCCACUCGUCGGCUCUCAUCGGUCUCACGUUGGUGGAAGUUUUCCCGAUUUGACAUGUUUAAUUGGCAUCGGAGCCUUCAGGACUGUCGGCGACAGGGAGAGCUGGAUGUUCAGUUUAGCGAACGAGUCAGUGCAGGAGUAUCAAAGCGAAAGUGAUGAAAAUGGGCAAGUAAAUUGAAGGCGACACAGACAGAAGGCUGUUUUUUGACGUUACAUGAUCUUACCCAAGCAUUUUAAUAUGCGAAUGUUUUCAUAACAACAUGAGCCGCUUAAAAUAAUGAAAGUUAUCUACAUUACUGAUAUUCAAAAUGGUCUGAUCCGGUUUUUCCUCCCUUCUGUUUCAUUGGCUUCAAGCUGGAAGAGAAAUAACAGCAAUCAACUCUGAGAAGGGGAUAAAAGUCACGCAGGUUUGGAACAACAUAAGACUGCUUGGACUCUCAUUCUGACGGCACCCAUUUACUGCAGAGGAUCCAUCAGUGAGAAAGUGAUCUAAAUCUGUUCCCGUGAAGAAAUAAACUCAUUGACAUUCUAGAUGGCCUGAGACCUCUCAGCAAGAAGACAUCAUCUUCAGAUGACACCUAGGCUAUGUAACGAAUAAAAAAACCACAGGAGACACCCAUUACUGCAGGUAACACGCAAACGCUAUUUACAAGUGACAUCAAUAAAAAAAGGGGGGGAAGAGGGAAAAAAGAAAAAAAUUGAAAAAAGAAGGAAAAAAAGAGAAAGAAAAAUGAAAUGGAUAAAAACAAAAAAGAAAAUAAAAAAGUGAAGGAAGGCAAGAAAAAAAGAAACAAAAAACAAGAGAAAGAAAAGGAAAAAAAGAGAAAGAAAAGGAAAAGGAAAAAAAAAAUUUACAGAUUGUCCAAUUAUUUGAUUAAAACACAGUUAAGACAAUAAUGUUAUGAUAUCUUACAAUAACAUUUUUUAUUUAAAUCUAUUUUUAAAAUGUAAUUUAUUCCAGUAAUAGCAAAGCAGAAUUUCAGCAGCCAUAUCCCAGUCUUCAGUGUCAAUGGAAUCACUUUAGGUCUGAGGCAGACUUGAUUCAACAGGCGGACCAAACCGUUCAUGACAACCGCUCUAGUGACGCAAAGGCAAUAAAGUGGCACAAAGUGUUGCAAGAACUAAUGUGUUCUGUAAAUCAUGACCUUUGUGUGUAGGUGUGUUGAGAACUGACAGUCCCAGUAAUAAACUACAGCCGGGUUUGCUUGUUCAUCCGCUGCUACUUCACUCGCCUCCAAUUCAUCAAGCUGAUUACAGUAACCACAGUGGAGUAAGUCAAUAACCUCACAGGAGGUCCAUCAAUACCUUUACUCCACUUUAAUCUCGCCAGACUGGAGAGAGAGAGCAGGAAAAAAGUGGAGCAAAAGAAAAAAACAUUUAAUUAUAGACUGGUUAGUGUCAAAAAGUGCUCACUGGAAUAACUAGUGAAUCUCAUAUUAAAAACCGCAUGCAUAUAAUGUCCUGAUAGGGUAAAAAUCAGUGAAAAUGUUAUCAUAUGUGUGGAACAUUUGUGUUAUAGAUAUGAAUGAUACCUCAAA